CAGCCUGCUGGCUCUGUUGCUUGCAUGUUUCCCCUUGGAGCCUCGGCUUCCUGUUCUGUGGAGUAUUGUCAAGAACAGUGUCUGUUCUACCAGGGAUGAUGCUUCCUGGAGGGAAGGCCAGGCCAUCUGCAGAGCUGUCUCCGUGGAGGGCUUGGUGAGCCUGUUUCUCCCGUGCAGCAGAGGCCUAGAGGAUCAGAAACAAGGAGCUGAUUUGAAAAUAAAGGUUAUGAAAAAUGGAAAGGAAAGUUCACGUGUGGAUACAGCAAGAAGGCAGCUGUCUACAAGCCAGGAAGAGAGCUCUCACUGGGAAGUGAAUCUGCUAGCAUCUUGAUCUUGGACUUCCAGCCUCCAGAAC
rnacentral:lncRNA from 1 species